CGCAGCCGCGGUAAUUCCAGCUCCAAUAGCGUAUAUUAAAGUUGUUGCAGUUAAAAAGCUCGUAGUUGAAUUUCGGGAUCAGCAUGUCGGUCGUGCCUCUGGUACGUACUGGUAUCGUUGAUUUCUACCUUCUGACGAACCACGAUGUCAUUAAUUUGGUGUCAUGGGGAAUCAGGACUGUUACUUUGAAAAAAUUAGAGUGUUUAAAGCAGGCACACGCUUGAAUACAUUAGCAUGGAAUAAUGAAAUAGGACGUUUGAUCCUAUUUUGUUGGUUUCUAGGAUCGACGUAAUGAUUAAUAGGGAUAGUUGGGGGCAUUAGUAUUCAAUUGUCAGAGGUGAAAAUUCUUGGAUUUAUUGAAGACUAACUACUGCGAAAGCAUUUGCCAAGGAUGUUUUCAUUAAUCUAAGAACGAAAGUUAGGGAUCGAAGACGAUCAGAUACCGUCGUAGUCUUAACCAUAAACUAUAGACCGACUAGGGAUCGGAUGAUGUUAAUUUUUAUGUACUCAUUCGGCUCCU
rnacentral:rRNA from 1 species